UAAAAAUGUUUAAACACCGUUCUCUAACAGCUUAAGCUUUUAGAGUACAACGGUUGUUUCACAUGGUAUCAGAGCAGGAGGUUCUGAGUUCGAGUCACGCCAGGCUCCUAGUAUAUUAAUUUCCUCCAAUUUAAUUCAAGCCCACGUCAUGGGCCGAUUAAAAAGUCUCGAGCCCAGACGUGAGGGGGAGUGUUAAAUAUAAAAAUGUUUAAACACCGUUCUCUAACAGCUUAAGCUUUUAGAGUACAACGGUUGUUUCACA
rnacentral:lncRNA from 1 species